UCUUCAUUUUUGUCCACAAUUAACUGCCUCCACAACAUAACGAAUAAGUCUACAGAUGUUUUCAUGUUUAUAUACUUCAUACAUCACUGACAGCCAGUGUGUGAUCUUCCCAGUGAGAAAUAAUGGACAGUGAUGUAGAAAGGCUUACAGACAGGUACAGGUCCCAGUUAAGGACAUAAAACAUGAGGGAAGAAAGAAACACUGGAAUCCAUGACAAGGACACAGUGGAGGUGGGCUGGUAUAUGUAGUGAGUGACUGAUGAGGGAAUGAGGUGCAGCUGAGGAGGUUGGCAGGAAACUGCAGGGAGGAUGAGAAAAGUGGGAACAGGUGUGAAGAUGGAUGAGGCAGUCAGGUGAUGGAGGAAGGAGGGAAAGUCUGAGGGCAUCUGGUGUGUCUCUCUGUCACUACAUGGACUUGAGACAAAGAAAUCUGUCCACCCGUAACUGAUGAAGACUUCCAUGUCUUCUGGCUCUGCCCACAUGUCCAACAGGUCUGGUUGGAGUCUCGGUCUCAGCAUCCCCUCAUCCCUCAUCACUGCUUUACUUGUUCAAAAUGUCCACAUUACAAACACCUACAAACAUGUCAGACCUGCUGCUACCAGAUUCUUCAGUGUCCUCUGCAUGUAAAUGUGUAGUUGGGUGGUGUCAGCAGUGAGGGGGAAACAGCAGGACAUGUUGAGGACAGCUACAGUCCACUGACUCUGUGUGUUUGCAUAUGUGUCCUGCCUCUGUGCUCCCAGCCGUUAAGAGGCCAGUGUUGAUCAGUGGCUGUCCAGGCCUUUCAGAGCCACUGACCUGCCGGCAGCACAAUGAUGAUGUCCCUGAUCCUACUGCUGCUCACCCUGGGGCUCCUUGUUCAGGAUUCAUCAGGAGAAAUCAUCCUGACUCAGUCUCCUCAAACUCAGUCUGUUGUUCCAGGGCAGACUGUCUCCAUCAGCUGUAGAGCCAGUUCAAGUAUGGGUAGCUACCUGCACUGGUACCUUCAGAAACCUGGAGAAGCUCCUAAACUUCUAGUUUAUUAUGCUACAACUCGUUACUCUGGAGUUCCUGAUCGUUUUAGUGGAAGUGGAUCUGGGAUUGACUUCACUCUGACCAUCAGUGGAGUUCAGGGUGAAGAUUCAGGAGUUUAUUACUGUCUACAGUGUGGUUACAGCCUCCCGUUCACACAGUGAAACAACAUUGUACAAAAACCUCCUCAGCUGGAAGAACUGAUCUGAAUCAGCAGCAGCACAGAAAUGAAAACACUAAGGCUUUCAGUAAAAUACACUUUAGACAAUAACAGGGAUAGAAGGUAACUGUCAGUAUAAAAGGAAUAUGUGUAUUUCUUUCUAUAAUAAUAUUGUUGCCGUUUAUUCCAAAUUUUUUGAAAGUCUGACAAUAAUGUAAAAUGUAAAAGCAACAAUAUGUUCAGUUGUGGUUUUUACUAAUGUCAUUAGAAAAAUGAAAUUAUUUAUAAAUAUUAAUUGCAUGCUGAAUGAAUUUUUUUUCUUGGUUUAUUUUGAAAGAAGAAACUUUAUUUUAAGAACCUGAAAGCAGAAAAUAAUCAAGGAACUUUAACUCUGAUAAUGAAUUGAGAUUGUUUUCAAUUAUAUCUUUUUUAUUCUAUUCAUUGCCUUUCUCUCAGUGACAAAAUCUUUUGGUAAACUUAUACUGUCUCAGUUUAAUAUAAUUUGACUGAAAAUGUCAAAUUAAACUCAGAUAGUAUCACUUUACGCAGAUGACCCUCUGCUUUUUAUGCAACAUUAAUAAAAAUCCUCAUGAUUUAUAUUUUUAAAUUGAGAUUUAACAACGCAAUCACGUGGCAUGAGGAUAUUGUUGGGUAAACAUCAGUAAUAAAAUAAAGUUUUUAAUCACCAAAGAUGAUUAAUUUUGAUAAAACUGGAAUGACUACAGAAGACAUCCACAGUCUUAAACCAUUAAAAAGUCAUCUGGAAUAAAUUGACUUC